rnacentral:rRNA from 1 species
AUUGAACGCUGGCGGCAGGCUUAACACAUGCAAGUCGAGCGGAGAGAGGUAGCUUGCUACUGAUCUUAGCGGCGGACGGGUGAGUAAUGCUUAGGAAUCUGCCUAUUAGUGGGGGACAACAUUUCGAAAGGAAUGCUAAUACCGCAUACGUCCUACGGGAGAAAGCAGGGGAUCUUCGGACCCUGCGCUAAUCGAUGAGCCUAAGUCGGAUUAGCUAGUUGGUGGGGUAAAGGCCUACCAAGGCGACGAUCUGUAGCGGGUCUGAGAGGAUGGUCCGCCACACUGGGACUGAGACACGGCCCAGACUCCUACGGGAGGCAGCAGUGGGGAAUAUUGGACAAUGGGCUCAAGCCUGAUCCAGACAUGCCGCGUGUGUGAAGAAGGCCUUAUGGUUGUAAAGCACUUUAGGCGAGGAGGAGGCUACUUUAGAUAAUACCUAGAGAUAGUGGACGUUACUCGCAGAAUAAGCACCGGCUAACUCUGUGCCAGCAGCCGCCGUAAAAC